rnacentral:rRNA from 1 species
AGUGAACGCUGGCGGUAGGCCUAACACAUGCAAGUCGAACGGCAGCACAGUAAGAGCUUGCUCUUACGGGUGGCGAGUGGCGGACGAGUGAGGAAUACAUCGGAAUCUACUUUUUCGUGGGGGAUAACGUAGGGAAACUUACGCUAAUACCGCAUACGACCUACGGGUGAAAGCAGGGGAUCUUCGGACCUUGCGCGAUUGAAUGAGCCGAUGUCGGAUUAGCUAGUUGGCGGGGUAAAGGCCCACCAAGGCGACGAUCCGUAGCUGGUCUGAGAGGAUGAUCAGCCACACUGGAACUGAGACACGGUCCAGACUCCUACGGGAGGCAGCAGUGGGGAAUAUUGGACAAUGGGCGAAAGCCUGAUCCAGCCAUACCGCGUGGGUGAAGAAGGCCUUCGGGUUGUAAAGCCCUUUUGUUGGGAAAGAAAAGCAGCAGGUUAAUACCCCGCUGUUCUGACGGUACCCAAAGAAUAAGCACCGGCUAACUUCGUG